rnacentral:rRNA from 1 species
UACGGAGGGUGCGAGCGUUGUCCGGAAUCAUUGGGCGUAAAGGGCGCGUAGGUGGCGGGACAAGCGUGCGGUGAAAGCUCGGGGCUCAACCCCGAGUCGGCCGUGCGAACUGUUUUGCUUGAGCACUGUAGAGGCAGGCGGAAUUCCGGGUGUAGCGGUGGAAUGCGUAGAGAUCCGGAAGAACACCGGUGGCGAAGGCGGUUCUCUGGGCCUUACCUGACGCUGAGGAGCGAAAGCGUGGGGAGCGAACAGG